rnacentral:rRNA from 1 species
CUAAAGAUACUGCUGAUUAUAAGUCGGAGGGAGGUGGGGACGACGUCAAGUCAUCAUGCCCUUUAUAUCCUGGGCUACACACGUGCUACAAUGGGUAGGACAACGAGCUGCUAAUCUGUGAAGGUAUGCUAAUCUCUUAAACCUAUCCUUAGUUCGGAUUGUAGGCUGCAACUCGCCUACAUGAAGCUGGAAUCGCUAGUAAUCGCGGAUCAGCACGCCGCGGUGAAUACGUUCCCGGGCCUU